rnacentral:misc_RNA from 1 species
GAUGAAGAACGCAGCGAAAUGCGAUAAGUAAUGUGAAUUGCAGAAUUCAGUGAAUCAUCGAAUCUUUGAACGCACAUUGCGCCCCUUGGUAUUCCGGGGGGCAUGCCUGUUCGAGCGUCAUUACAACCCUCAAGCUUUGCUUGGUAUUGGACAUUGCCAGUUUCUGGCAGGUCUUAAAAUCAGUGGCGGUGCCAUUUGGCUUCAAGCGUAGUAAUUCUUCUCGCUUUGGAGAUCCAAGUGGUUACUUGCCAAUAACCCCCAAUUUUUUCAGGUUGACCUCGGAUCAGGUAGGGAUACCCGCUGAACUUAAGCAUAUCAAUAAGCGGAGGA